CAUCCCUGCCCUGGGAGGUGUUCGAGGCAACAGAGAAGACAGAAGAGGUGGGUGAGAGGAUCAGGCUGGGGGCAGACAGGACAAAGGAGCAGCAGGAACCGGAGGCUGUAGAAGGGACCAGCCGUGUGUCCAGUUCACAGAUGCCGAGUCGCAAGCAAAGAAAUCACCGCGUCCUCCUCCGGCUUCCCUAGCCAGUGCUGCCCUGAUUACUCACAAUCACCAGCUGCUCCCUUAGCCCUGCAUCACUGAGGAGACGGCCACUGGCCUGGGGCCCUGGAGGAAGGAGGCGAGAAACUGAGCAGGAGCCAAAAUCGUAAACCAGAAAGGAGGCACCUGCCUGUGACAGGACCCCGGAUGGCCGAGUUCUUACUUGGAACCAGCAGCUAAAAGGCUCCAUGUCCGGCUUCCAGUCCCUCUAGCCCCUGCCCAGGCCCCGAGCACCCUUGACCCAUGGAUCUCAAAGAGCUUUACACAGCUACGCCCUACACUGCCUCUCUGAGGGAGGUGAACGAAGCCAUUCCUGUUUUUCAAGGCCACACAGGGGUCGGAGUAGCCGUUGGCAUCCAUGGCAGCCAGGUGUGCACAGCGGAUGAUGCCGACCAAGAGGCCUUGCUUCUGGGAGCUGUA